rfam:Brachypodium distachyon strain Bd21 chromosome 3, whole genome shotgun sequence.
CAUAUACUUCCUCCGUCCAACAAAUGAUGUCUUAAGUUUGUAAAAAAUUGGAUGUAUCUAGACAUGACUUAAUGUAUAGAUGCAUUUAAAUUUGGUCAAAAUUGAGACAUCCUUUGUUUACGGAGGGAGUACAAG